GAGGUGGCAGAACCAGGGUUGGAUGUGGCCUUUACCGGUUGCCUCAAGGCCAGCGGGGACGGGGUGACUGGAGUCCGCAGCUUACUGGGAGAGGGGACUGAAGACAGGCAGAGCAGGAAUACAGUCAGCAACAGGAGAGUGGGACUAGACAAAGACGAAGACAACAGAGACAGGCCUUAAGUCAGAGCUGAGGAUGGGCUUCAAUGUGGCGUCUCUUACUGCCCGUUUGUUUUCUUAACAAACUAUGACGUUACAUGGCCCGUGAUUAAAGCGGCAGUUAUACAAAA